GUACCAGGGAAGUGUCUUCUUGUUAACCAGCUCCAGAGUGUGUGGUUCACUAUUUGUCAGAAAUAGUGCGAAAACUUUGAUCCUGGCUUGUAUUGGUGGUGGGGUGGUUAAGGAGGGACUUUAUGUCAUGUUCACUUGCCUAGGGGUCUGUUGAUUUGUCAGAGUGUGGGGCCUACCUAGUAUUGGAGACUUGGAGACUUGCUAUGUACUCCUUCUUUGAGGCUGGAUACUGCUGAUCUUGGACCUUGCUUCCCUUCCACCCAAGUAAGAAAGAUCUUUCCUACAAUUCUGAUGCAGAAAAUAUACCCGAAAGAUGUUAAGUCAUUUCCCCAAUCCACACAGGAAUUAAGUGACAAAGGUUUAGGUAACAGUGCCAUAUUUACAUCAAAGAAGAAAUUUGACAUGACCCCUUCAUCCAAAGCACCUCUGGGAUAUCUUAUUGUGGCCAGCUACCAAUUCAUAUGUUGCUCAGCCACAUUCUUCACCUUAACAUGAGAAUGAACCUGGAAUUUCAAAGACUUGAGGAAUGAUGAAGAAGCUCUAGCAGAAUAUGGGAGCCAUAUUUGUGAAUAUUCUCUGAGAGAGGACAAAUUGAUAAUAUAGAGGCAACAUUUAUUGAAAUUAACAGAAGAGGAUAUAAGGAGCAUGGUGAAGUGAAUACUAAGCUGACCUCAAAUAAAGAAGACCUGUAUUCAAGUUCUGUCUCUGGCAUAUAUUGCCCAGGUGAUUCUUGGAAAGUAUUGUAAUUUCCCUUUGAUAAAACUCUGUUUUACAUUGAAAUUGCAAACCUUGUCUUUCUCCCUGAUAUGGGGAAUCAUUUGAAUUGGAAGAAGUC
rnacentral:lncRNA from 1 species